UACGUAGGGUGCGAGCGUUGUCCGGAAUCAUUGGGCGUAAAGAGCGUGUAGGCGGCCUGGUAAGUCCGCUGUGAAAGUCCAGGGCUCAACCCUCGGAUGCCGGUGGAUACUGUCGGGCUCGAGUACGGAAGAGGCGAGUGGAAUUCCUGGUGUAGCGGUGAAAUGCGCAGAUAUCAGGAGGAACACCUAUUGCGAAGGCAGCUCGCUGGGACGUUACUGACGCUGAGACGCGAAAGCGUGGGGAGCAAACAGG
rnacentral:rRNA from 1 species